GGGGGCGCAGUGCCAGCUAUUCAACACAUGCCAAACACACCCAUUUCCCGGAAAAAUGUCUUUACUUCCAGGAAAGACGAAAUGGUUUUGGGGAAACGCACGACUCUUAACAAGGCUAACAGCAACAAAGAAGGGGGACAUGGUUGAAAGGCCCACAUUUUAAGAAGUUGAAAAAGAGCCGACAGCCUCUUGUUUCUUGAUGUAAACGCCUUCUUUGCCCGAACGUUGUCAGAGAGAGAUGGGUGUUUGAAAUUUGUAUGUGGGAGGAGAAAUUUUGGGUUCUGAAUUUUGGUGUCAAAUUAAAUUGGGUUGGAUUUUGUACGUGGUUUGGAUUUGAUUGAUGUCUCGUUCUCUGUUGUUGCCAGUCAAUACAAUUUGCAAGGAUGCAGCUGGAGUCGCCGGGAACAUCUUUGCUUUUGGGCUGUUUGUGUCACCAAUACCUACGUUUAGGAGAAUCGCCAGAAACCGAUCAACAGAAAGUUUCUCAGGAUUGCCAUAUAUAUAUGCUCUCCUAAACUGCUUGGUAACUCUCUGGUACGGCACGCCCCUCGUAUCUUAUAAUAAUAUAAUGGUUACCACAGUCAAUUCAAUGGGAGCAGCCUUUCAGUUAGUCUACAUAAUCCUCUUCAUAACAUAUACCGACAAAAGGAAAAAGGUGAGGAUGUUUGGGCUGCUGAUGGUAGAUAUUGUCUUAUUCUUAGUCAUAGUUGUUGGGAGCUUGGAAAUAAGUGACUUUACCAUUCGGCGGAUGGUUGUUGGGUUCUUGAGUUGUGCUGCUCUCAUAUCUAUGUUUGCUUCUCCAUUGUUUGUAAUUAAUUUGGUGAUCCAGACAAGAAGUGUCGAAUUCAUGCCAUUCUAUCUUUCUCUUUCAACUUUCCUAAUGAGCGCUUCUUUUCUUGCUUAUGGAAUUUUGAACAAUGAUCCCUUUGUUUAUGUCCCAAAUGGAGCUGGAACCGUUUUGGGGAUUGUGCAAUUGGGGUUGUACUCCUACUAUAAAAGAACAUCUGCAGAAGAGUCUAGAGAACCUUUAAUAGUGUCUUAUGGGUAAAAGAGCAUAUUAGCAAGAAAAGGUAAAAUUGGGGUUCCUUGCUGCAUGAAAUAAGAAGACAAGGCUGGAACUGAAGGAUAGUGAAACGUGCAAACUUGCUACCCACAAUUGUGCUUUUAGGACCAAGAUCUCCAGAAACUGAGGAAUUUAAUCCAGAAAACAAAGGUUGAUGGAGUGGCUGGCCUGUCUCAUCAUACAGAAUCAGCCCGCUGAAUCGAGGCAGCUCACACUUCUCGCCCAUCAGUAUCGGUCUCUGCCACACUGGUGAGACUGAGUUAUGGCUCUGCCACCCCACAUCCCCCUCAUACUGCUGCACCGCCAGCAGCGGCAGCGGCCUCUCGUCCCAUUUGCUGGCUCCACUCCACCUCACCGUCCCCAUCAACACCCUCUUUAUGGACCCCCAACCACACCCUCCAUCACCCCACUUCUUGCUGAUCAUCGACUCAACCCCAUCGACAUCCUCCCCACCAACCACCUGCCUUCUCCGGGCUCUCUUUUUCAGUGCGACCGCAGUGCACACUCCGAUGACUGAAAAUGCAGUGCAGACAAACAGGAGGACUGCUUCUUGGGUUGACAGCUUCCAUUUGUCCUCCAAGCUCCACAAGGCUUCCAUGUCUGCUUGUGAGAGUGUGGGGUAGUGAGUGAGAUGAGAGUUUGUAUGGAUUGUAUGGAGAUGUUGUGGAGUUGGUAGCAGUCACAUGAGGGUCACCGCUAGUGGGGGGUGUUGUUGAUUUGUAGGAUGGUCUUGUGGGAUAGCCGUUGUUGGCAAAUGCCUCCCACCGAUUGAAGUUAAUGUGGGUUCACGAGGUACCCAAGGUUGUGAUAAAAGCAGGAACAUGAAUGAAUAGAAACAACUUGAAGAGAA